AUUGAACGCUGGCGGCAGGCCUAACACAUGCAAGUCGAACGGUAACAGGAAGAAGCUUGCUUCUUUGCUGACGAGUGGCGGACGGGUGAGUAAUGUCUGGGAAACUGCCUGAUGGAGGGGGAUAACUACUGGAAACGGUAGCUAAUACCGCAUAACGUCGCAAGACCAAAAAGGGGGACCUUCGGGCCUCUUGCCAUCGGAUGUGCCCAGAUGGGAUUAGCUAGUAGGUGGGGUAACGGCUCACCUAGGCGACGAUCCCUAGCUGGUCUGAGAGGAUGACCAGCCACACUGGAACUGAGACACGGUCCAGACUCCUACGGGAGGCAGCAGUGGGGAAUAUUGCACAAUGGGCGCAAGCCUGAUGCAGCCAUGCCGCGUGUAUGAAGAAGGCCUUCGGGUUGUAAAGUACUUUCAGCGGGGAGGAAGGGAGUAAAGAUAAUACCUUUGCUCAUUGACGUUACCCGCAGAAGAAGCACCGGCUAACUCCGUG
rnacentral:rRNA from 1 species